rnacentral:rRNA from 1 species
GACGAACGCUGGCGGCGUGCUUAACACAUGCAAGUCGAACGGAAAGGCCCUGCUUUUGUGGGGUGCUCGAGUGGCGAACGGGUGAGUAACACGUGAGUAACCUGCCCUUGACUUUGGGAUAACUUCAGGAAACUGGGGCUAAUACCGGAUAGGAGCUCCUGCUGCAUGGUGGGGGUUGGAAAGUUUCGGCGGUUGGGGAUGGACUCGCGGCUUAUCAGCUUGUUGGUGGGGUAGUGGCUUACCAAGGCUUUGACGGGUAGCCGGCCUGAGAGGGUGACCGGCCACAUUGGGACUGAGAUACGGCCCAGACUCCUACGGGAGGCAGCAGUGGGGAAUAUUGCACAAUGGGCGGAAGCCUGAUGCAGCAACGCCGCGUGCGGGAGGACGGCCUUCGGGUGGUAAACCGCUUUCGCCUGUGACGAAGCGUGAGUGACGGGAAAGGGGAAAGAAGCACCGGCUAACUACGU